CACUAUAGACAUUCACGGUACAUGUGAGUCACAUUUGGUAUGUAGAGACACAUUUGGUACCUGAUACCC